AAAGGUUCAAAUACAUCGUCUUAUAACUGCAGGUUUAACGAACAAAAGUUGUAAUCGCCUGAAAGUGUAACCAUGGCAACAGCAAGCAGCUCGAGCGAUUCCAUUGCGGUCAGCUUUGACGCGUGUAAAGGGAUUGAGUGCUGAUGUCAGUUAGGGUGACGCCAAAGUUUGGAGCUGAACUUCGGAGUGGAUCUGGGGCACAGAUGAAGAAAGCUGAUGCUCUUUUGUAUGAAGAAACGCAUGUUCCUGUCUAACAGCGAGAGAGAGAUGGAGAGGCCCUGUCACAAGCAGAUGAGUGUUCAUUACUUUACCCUUGACGGGGGGUUUGGGAAGUGGGAAAGAGAUUUCAUGCUAAUUUGUGGGAUGACACCUUAGCCAUUUACAAUAUAUAUAAAACAAAUAGACCAUAACAUCCUUGAUAACACUUUGGCCCUUUUAAAAAACAAU